GAUGAACGCUGGCGGCGUGCCUAAUACAUGCAAGUCGAACGCAUUGAGAGAAGUGCUUGCACUUUUCAAUUUGAGUGGCGAACGGGUGAGUAACACGUAGGCAACCUACCUGAUCGCGGGGGAUAACGAGUGGAAACAUUCGCUAAUACCGCAUAACAAUAGAGAAGCCAUCUUCUUUAUUUAAAAGGCGCUUUAAAGCGUCACUAUCAGCUGGGCCCGCGGUGCAUUAGUUAGUUGGUGGGGUGAAGGCCUACCAAGACGAUGAUGCAUAGCCGAUUUGAGAGACUGAUCGGCCACAUUGGGACUGAGACACGGCCCAAACUCCUACGGGAGGCUGCAGUAGGGAAUCUUCCACAAUGGACGAAAGUCUGAUGGAGCAACGCCGCGUGUGUGAUGAAGGCUUUCGGGUCGUAAAGCACUGUUGUAUGGGAAGAAAUGCUAGGCUAGGAAAUGAGCUUAGUUUGACGGUACCAUACCAGAAAGGGACGGCUAAAUACGUGCCAGCCGCCGCCGUAA
rnacentral:rRNA from 1 species